rnacentral:rRNA from 1 species
CUGAACCAGCCAAGUAGCGUGAAGGAUGACUGCCCUAUGGGUUGUAAACUUCUUUUAUACGGGAAUAAAGUGAGCCACGUGUGGCUUUUUGUAUGUACCGUAUGAAUAAGGAUCGGCUAACUCCGUGCCAGCAGCCGCGGUAAUACGGAGGAUGCGAGCGUUAUCCGGAUUUAUUGGGUUUAAAGGGUGCGUAGGUGGUGAUUUAAGUCAGUUGUGAAAGUUUGCGG